AGCUCCAAUAGCGUAUAUUAAAGUUGCUGCAGUUAAAAAGCUCGUAGUUGCAUUUCCGAGGCAAGGGAUUAGUCCGACCUUUGGUGGGUCUUUAAUCCUCUUGCCUCGUCCUUGAGUGGUGCUUCUUGGUAUUAAGUUAUCGAGGAGAUAGCCGCUCAUCGUUUACUGUGAGAAAAUUAGAGUGUUCAAAGCAGGCUUAUGCCGUUGAAUAUAUUAGCAUGGAAUAAUAAGAUAGGACCUCGGUACUAUUGUGUUGGUUUGAGAACCAAGGUAAUGAUGAAUAGGGACAGUUGGGGGUAUUCGUAUUCAGUUGUCAGAGGUGAAAUUCUUAGAUUUACGGAAGACGAACUACUGCGAAAGCAUUUACCAAGGAUGUUUUCA
rnacentral:rRNA from 1 species